rnacentral:lncRNA from 1 species
AAAAAUUGGAAUUUUUUGCUUGGGUGGUGGUUUGGGCUAUACCCAGAAGUUGCAGUUCUUCUUGAAGGUCUUCAAAACUGUUUUUUUUUUCAAGUUACAGGUGGAAGAAAAGUGGGACAAAAUGUCAGUUAGUGAGGAAAAUAUGUAGAAGCAUGACAUGAUGUUACCUUCAUGUCCAUUCUUCCCUGGGCCUGUCAAACAUGAUGCAAAACAGAUGGCAGAGGCAACACAGUGCCAUGGGAGAGCUUUUGAUCUUUGGUGCUGACUUUCAUGGCAAAACUGUCCAAUCACCUUUAGAGCAGGCACAAUGCCAUAGCAACAGAUGAGGAGGAGUGUAAGUAGCAAUAUAUCAUAUCUGUUUGUUGAGCUGAGAAUGUCCAAAAGGCUUUAGGUUCAAAUAAACAGCUUGCCUGCACUUGGUGCGGCAAAGGGAGAAGAGAAG